rnacentral:rRNA from 1 species
CCUACGGGUGGCAGCAGUGGGGGAUAUUGCACAAUGGGGGAAACCCUGAUGCAGCGACGCCGCGUGGGUGAAGAAGGGCCUCGGCGCGUAAAGCCCUGUCAGCAGGGAAGAAAAUGACGGUACCUGAAGAAGAAGCCCCGGCUAACUACGUGCCAGCAGCCGCGGUAAUACGUAGGGGGCAAGCGGUGGCCGGAUUUACUGGGGGUAAAGGGGGCGGAGACGGCGAUGCAAGCCAGGAGUGAAAGCCCGGGGCCCAACCCCGGGACGGCUCUUGGAACUGCGUGGCUAGAGUGCAGGAGGGGCAGGCGGAAUUCCUGGUGUAGCGGUGAAAUGCGUAGAUAUCAGGAGGAACACCGGUGGCGAAGGCGGCCUGCUGGACUGCAACUGACGUUGAGGCCCGAAAGCGUGGGGAGCAAACAGGAUUAGAUACCCUUGUAGUC